ensembl:lncRNA
GUUCGAUUCCCGGGCGGCGCACCACUUUUGCUUCCAAAAAUGCACGUAUCUUCUACACACUUUUGCUGGUACAGAUUCGCAUUGAUGUUGCUUUUUAUCCAAGAGGAUUUCCAUUUCAAGCCCCCCAUUAAUGGUCAGUCUCCGUGGAUGGGUCAACAUUGUACAGCAGCUGUGACCGAGGCCUCGUCAAACUUUGGGACAUGGAGACAACAGUGGCUUAGUGUGACAAGAGGACGUGGAGAACAAUAUUUUCACAUGUAACCUUUUUUAGCAAACAGCAUGCCAUGUGCGAUUGGGUCAUUUCUUUGCCCUCCUCUCCGGAAGGGAAUCGAGGCUGCUGACUUUUUGUGAACCAAACUCUGACGCCGAUGAGUGCCUUAUGACAUUCAACCCCCCCCCCAAAGAAGCGGGACCCUCUGGGGGCAGAUACGCUGAUCAAAUCAAAGAUUCCCACCUUGCAAAAAACCCCACAAUUUUCACAAAACGUCCAUCCUUUCUCUCAAUUGUCUUCUAAAUUCACAAAAUGUAGGAUUUUCUAUUUGUAAAUGUGUUCAUUUGCUUGUGAACAGACAUUCUUUUCUUGAAAUAAAGUUGUUGAUGAUAUCUUAAAAA